UACGGGGGGGGCAAGCGUUGUUCGGAAUUACUGGGCGUAAAGGGCGCGUAGGCGGUUGGAUAAGUCAGCUGUGAAAACCACGGGCUUAACUCGUGGCCUGCAGUUGAGACUGUCUGGCUUGAGUUUGGGAGAGGAGAGCGGAAUUCCCGGUGUAGGGGUGGAAUGCGUAGAUAUCGGGAAGAACACCAGUGGCGAAAGCGGCUCUCUGGGGACCACCUGACGCUGAGGCGCGAAAGCGUGGGGAUCGAACAGG
rnacentral:rRNA from 1 species